CGGGCUUGGUGGCGUGUGCCUGUAGUCCCAGCUACUCAGGAGACUGAGACUGGAGGAUCUCUUGAGCCCAGGAGUUCUGGGCUGUAGUGCAUUAUGCCGACCUGGGGUCCACACUAAGUUUGGCAUCAAUAUGGUGACCUCCCGGGAGCAGGGGACCACCAGGUUGCCUAAGGAGUGGUGAACCAGCCCAGGUCGGAAACGGAGCAGGUCAAAACUCCCGUGCUGAUCAGUAGUGGGAUUGCGCCUGUGAAUAGCCACUGUACUCCAGCCUGGGCAACAUAGCGAGACCCCCGUCUCU
rnacentral:SRP_RNA from 1 species